rnacentral:rRNA from 1 species
GAUGAACGCUGGCGGCGUGCCUAAUACAUGCAAGUCGAGCGAACGGACGAGAAGCUUGCUUCUCUGAUGUUAGCGGCGGACGGGUGAGUAACACGUGGAUAACCUACCUAUAAGACUGGGAUAACUUCGGGAAACCGGAGCUAAUACCGGAUAAUAUUUUGAACCGCAUGGUUCAAAAGUGAAAGACGGUUUUGCUGUCACUUAUAGAUGGAUCCGCGCUGCAUUAGCUAGUUGGUAAGGUAACGGCUUACCAAGGCAACGAUGCAUAGCCGACCUGAGAGGAUGAUCGGCCACACUGGAACUGAGACACGGUCCAGACUCCUACGGGAGGCAGCAGUAGGGAAUCUUCCGCAAUGGGCGAAAGCCUGACGGAGCAACGCCGCGUGAGUGAUGAAGGUCUUCGGAUCGUAAAACUCUGUUAUUAGGGAAGAACAUAUGUGUAAGUAACUGUGCACGUCUUGACGGUACCUAAUCAGAAAGCCCCGGCUAACUACGUG